rnacentral:rRNA from 1 species
UGGGGGAUAUUGCACAAUGGGCGAAAGCCUGAUGCAGCGACGCCGCGUGGGGGAUGAAGGCCUUCGGGUUGUAAACUUUUUUUGCUCUGAACAAGGCAUGCUAAUGGGUGUGUUGAGUGUAGGGGUUGAUUAGCGCCGGCUAACUACGUGCCAGCAGCCGCGGUAAUACGUAGGGCGCGAGCGUUGUCCGGAAUUAUUGGGCGUAAAGGGCUUGUAGGUGGCUGGUUGCUUCUGUCGUGAAAGCUCAUGGCUUAACUGUGGGUUUGCGGUGGGUACGGGCUGGCUUGAGUGCAGUAGGGGAGGCUGGAAUUCCUGGUGUAGCGGUGGAAUGCGCAGGUAACAGGAGGAAUACCGGUGGCGAAGGCGGGACUCUGGGCUGUUACUGACACUGAGGAGCGAAAGCAUGGGGAGCGAACAGG